rnacentral:lncRNA from 1 species
AUUUUCUGGGAAAGUAUACAGGUUUUUACGGCGAGGGGAUAUAAUUGUUUUAAUGAACUGUUUUGGAAAACUAAUUUGUUUUACUGACCCACUCAUUUUGUUUUGCGCCCCUCCAGGUUCUAGUUUAGCGGUGGUUGGCUCACGAGGUCCUUUUCCGGCUUUCUGACAGACCUUGGACAUGUAGGACUCACCUGAGGGUGAUGUAUUCUUAUUUUAGUCCUACUUGACUGCAGUUACCUAUGCUCUGAACUUAUGUGUUUGUAGUAUAACUCGUCCGGUUAUGUUCGUAGGUGGAUAUGUUUAAGUUGGUUUGAAUUUCAGCUGAUUUAUGUUCUUGUUUUGCUUCCGUGUCGCACCUUUGGUUACGUCACUCCCACGUGACGGCCAGCACACCUGGAUCCCCUGGAUCGGGGUGUGUCAGUUUUAAUAUUGUAUGUAAUUUGUUGUGAGACAUCACGCGAUGAGGCCCUUCAGUUUAAGAGGUUUUGCAAAACCUUUAGCAUAGAACAAAAAAAUGACCAGCCAAUGUUGGAGAUGAUUUGUUGGAACUAAAUAGACUAUAAAAUAGGUAAAGGUAGUAUGUUAGUGUGUGCAACUGCUUUUUACAAAAGGACAUUUAACGAAAAACUUAUGAUAUUGUUCACUUUAACGAAAAACCACAUUUUUACACUAAAAAGUCAAUUUUGGUACUAUUCAUUUUAUCCUUUAUUUUGUCCUUAUCGUUAAAACUCAAAAUUUUCAAGUCUUUUUUCAUUAGUUUUCAUUUUUACAAAAUAGGCGAUGGAUAGAGAGAAUGAGAGCCUACGAACCCUAAUGAGAUUGACCACUGAUUUGAUUGAUGGCUAAGAAUUAACAUCUCUUUUUUCUGUGACUUGAAGCACAAAUAGGUUUGAAACAAUAACAAAUUAAGAAAGCUCUUGAUAUUGGUGAUCUUAUAACUGGUAUAGGAUUAAAUCAAGAUAUUAGUCUCACGCGUCCUUGUGAUACACAGUGGAACUCACAUUAUGGUACUAUAGUUAGUGUUAUUGUUAUGUUUUAAGCCAUGGUGGAGGUGCUUGAAUGGAUUAAAGAUGAUGGCAACCAAGAUAAUUUCAGUGAAGCAAGUUCUUCCACGACAUACAAACUCUUGAUUUUGUGUUUCACCUUUUUUUUAUGAGACUUAUAUUGGGAAUUACAAAUGAGUUAUCACAAGCAUUACCAAAGAAAAUCAAGAUAUUGUGAAUGUGAUGACGUUAGUGGAAGUAUGCAAGCAAAGACUACAAUCCUUGAGAGAUGAUGACUUUGGGGACUUGCUUGAUGAUGUAUAAAAGUUUAGUGAGGAGCAUGAGAUUAUCGUUCCUAACAUGGAGGAUUUGCAUUUCUUACCCGAAAAAUCAAAGUGUAAAGCUCCAAGACUCACAAACUUCUUUACUAUCGUGUGAACCUCUAUUUUCAAGUUCUUGAUAUGCAACUAAAGGAAUUGAAUGAUCGCUUUAAUGAGGUAAACACCGAGUUGCUUCUUUGUAUGGCAUGUUUGAGUCCGGUAAAUAAUUUUGCAUCUUUUGACAAAGCAAAAAUUGUUUAUUUAGCCCAACUUUAUCCUCAAGAUUUUGAUCGUAUGGAACUCAUGAAUCUUCCAAUUCAACUUGAAAAUUACAUUCAUGAUAUGAAGAUGCAUAGUGAGUUUUCAUCAUUGAGAGGAAUUAGUAAUCUUGCAAAUGAGUUAGUGAAGACCAGGAGGCGUGUAAGCUAUAUGUUAGUGUAUAAGCUUCUUACAUUGGUUUUGGUGUUACCGGUUGCAACAGCUUCGGUGGAGAGAGCUUUCUGUUAUGAAGAUUGUGAAAACACCAUUGCAUAACAAAAUGGGAGAUCAAUGGUUGAGUGAUAGCGUGUUUGUUUACAUUGAGUGAGAUGUAUCUGCUUUUAUUGAUAAUGAGUCUGUUAUGCGAUGUUUUCAUGACAUGAAACCUCGCCGGCAACAAUUGUAAUUUGUUUGUAUUGAUAAAAGGAUUUGGUUGUUGUCACAUUCUUUUGAACCUUGCACUCUUUUAAGUUCGCCCUUCCCCCCAACAAUUCCCGGCAAUGGUCAUGGCAUCUGGUUGCAUCAAAAGUAUCUUACAUGUGAACCCUAUAUGGCAUCUAGAUGGAUUUAAAUGGACUAGGAUUCUCUCCCCUCAUCUUUCCAUCCCAUUCCAUCUCCUCCUCUCACACUCUUUAUUUUGUCUUUCUCUUUCUAUAAAAAAUUAAUAUAAGAUACUGACGUGGCUUAACCGUGACCGUUCAAAUAGGAAGGGAGGGAAUGAGGGAAAAAAGAGAGGAGAGAAUCCUUCUCCGAUUUAAACAAGUAAGAACCCAUUAAGCUCUAUGGAAGUCAUUGGAAAUCACACAAACCCUAAUUGCAUGACAUCUACAAAUAAGUGUUUAUGGUAUCAAUUGCAAGAAGCUAAACCCAAGUAUGGCAUCUACUCUAACUUGCAUCAAAUCAACUUAACUAAAACUUAGAUGGUGAUCAAGCAUCUAAAUAAAAAUCAAGCGCAUUACGAAUAGCAAAAGAUAAAAUAAAACUCCAAAGUAAAACCCUAGCAAAGAAAAACUCCAAAGUAGCUCUCCUCUUUGCCGCAACCAAAUGCCCCCAAACUAAUUUUGCUUGUCCUCGAGCAAACCAAAAUAAAACGCAAAACUCAAAAGAAACAAAUAGUAGCUAACUUCCCAAAUUAACAUAUUUUUCAUAUAUGUUAGCUUGGUUUACUGCGUCAAUUAGUGCUUAUAUCUUUUGGUAAACUUUCAUAACGAAUCAUAUUGAGUCAUAAUUUUUUUUUUUAACAUGUAUCAAUGACAUAACCCGCUGCAGAACCAAACUGUAGCACACAAUUCAUCACUGCUAUGACAGCUAAGACAUUCCAAAUCACACAAGUUUACAUACAUUGGGAUAAAACCCACAGUUAUUCAUUGUUAAAUAUAAUUACAAUAAGUUGAUUUUUGUUGGAUGCAACCAUCCAACUACUAUGAUCCUUCAGCGCCCAAUGUUGGAUUUUCUAAGGCGAAGAAACUCCAUACUCAAAAUCGUGGGCAUCGGCUGGAGAGAGAUUGUCUUCGCGUCUUGGGUUGAAGUGCGAGACCUUGAAGAAUAUGAGAACUGGAUCAUCUGGGUCCUCUUCUUCUUAUUAUUCUUUCUUCAAAUGCUUGUAACUCUUAUGGUUAGAGAGAAGCAGAGAAAGGAAAGAGAGAGGGAAAGAGGGGGCGACGAGAGACGGGGGAGAGGAGAAAGUGGGUGAAUCAAAGAAAAAAAGUAAUAGGUGAGGGAGAGAGAGAGGGGAGAGGAGAGAGUGGGGUGGGUGAAAAAGAGUAAUCUUUCUUUAUACCCAAAAGGAGAAAAAAGAUAAAAAAAGAAAAGAAAAAGUGCUGACUAGGCUAUGGGAAAGAAGUUACCGACAUCUCUCUUCCCUCCUCGGUUAUAAAUAGGGGGGUAUUUCAAAAAAAAAAAAAAACAGUAGUAGGAACUCUUGCCCACGCAACGAGGUAUUCCAACCGAGUGCUCGACUGACUUGUCUGUAAGUCUCUGGUUUUUGUUAGUGCGAUGAUGUCCCCAACAACAUUCUGGAUAAACAAUCCUUCACGCCUGCAAAUUGAGAGUCCAAAUUAUUCAAACAGAUGAUUCAUCAUAUCAUGCAACACCAAGAUUCAUAUGAACUAAACUAAUUCAUCAUAUAUGUUCAAUUAAGAAUUAUUUAGACGACCCUUAAGCUGACAUGACCAGACUGGUGGAUAACCCACUGGGAAUUUAUACAGAAAACGAGCCCUAUUACUUGCAACAACAUAAGGUUCCUGUGAGUAGAAGCUCUUCUUUGAUCAAUCAUCCAUGGCUUCCUCAGUUUUUUUUAUCAAUCGUCCAUGUGAUUAUUGAUCUGCUAAUGAAUUAGGCUUUGCUAUAUUUGUUCCAACAUCUGGUAUCAGAGCCAAUAAUAUUGGCUUCUCAUUAAUCCGUCAAGGCUGAUGCUUAUGUAAUUACUAAUCAUUAUUUUCUUCUUCUAAUUACUAAUUAUUAUAUUCUUCUUCUAAUCAUUAAUCUGAUUAUACAAGAUGUUCCAAGCGAUUAAAUUUUGUAAAAGAGGAAAUUUGAAUUUAUACCCGUCCGCCGUGGUUUUAAGAUUCCGGCCACACAAAUCUGCACAAGCCUUAAGGUCCCUUCUCCACUGCUCCACCUCAUCUGGAUCUUCAUCCCUUUCAUGCUUCCGAAAUGCUUCCCCAAAACUACCGCUCUGUUUCCUCACUUGAGAAGGGUCAACGUCGUAGAAUAUUGGAUAGACUACUUUCCCCUCUUGGUCUUCGCGGCACCUCAUGAUCUUCGACAGCUCGCUCAGGCAACAUCCGGCCUCCGCAUACCUCUUUGAGAAGACGACGACGGCGAUCCUCGACCCUUCGAUUUCUCCGUCAAGUUCGCUCGGUGUAUUUUCCUCCCUUCUGAGCUGGUAGUCUACAAACGUGUUAAUUCCGGCGUCGCGUAACGCAAUGGAGAGGUGGUCUGUGAAGGUAGUGCGUGUGUCGUCGCCUAAGCUGAGGAACACCUCGUACUUCCAGUGGUUUGAACGCCGAGACGAAGCGGCGGCGGCGGCGGCGGUUGCAUGGGCGGAUCUGCUGGUAUUCAUUGAUUUCAAGUAAAGAAGAGAAAAACUCCUGAUUGUUUCAGUCUAAAGAAAACAAGUAUUUCCCAAGAUUCCCAGUGAAACUCCUGAUUAUUUUUUGAAUAGCUGGAAGAUGUGAGAGCAAAGCAAAUUCAGGACCGCAGCUCUUUGUCUCGAUCUCGAUCUCGGUCAGAAUUGGCGGUGGAAAGAAGACGGAGAAAAAAAAGAUAAUUGGGGAGACGAAGAAAGAAGAGGGAGAGACAAUGCAAAAGCUGCGGCUGACAAGAAAAGAAGAAAGAAGGGAGAAGUUGUCUGCCCUCCACUUCGGUGUUCUUCCGUGCCAUUCUAUUUUGUGUGGUCACGUUUAAGACACGUCAACAUUUUAUAUUAUUUUUUUAUAGAUAUAAUAAGACAAAAAUGAAUAUUAAUAUAAAAUUUUAACAUGGCUUAACCGUGACCACACAAACAAAGGAUACGGGGAUGGCACCGAAAGUGGAGAGCAGACAAUUCUUGUCUAAAAAGAAUAUGCUAGCUAGGGUUUGUAGUAGAAGAGAUUUUUCAGUAUGUCCGGUAUAUUAGUUGGUAUAUUAGUUGGUAUAUUACGUAUCAUUAUAUAAAUGAUGAGAUAUGUGUUUUAAAAUGUUAAUAAAUUUUUUUAUCAUUUCUACACGUAAGGUAUCACUUGUAUUCUCACUUGUAUUCUUGUCGUAAUUAAAAAUUUCUAGUAUGAAGGCUUUUCUCAACGUGUGCUUCAAGUUUAGCUUUUUGUUAUAAAAUAUGUGAAUGCCCCAUACAGGCACUACACUUUGCUUCUUUGGCAUGCUUUGGUUUUUUGGCUUAUUCUUCUAAAGCAUGAUUCCUUUGGUUGAAAUGUUUGGUGUGGAAAUUAGGCUCCACUAAGAAAAUGUCAUUCCACUAGCUGCCAUUGAUUGCUCCUACUUUUCCCAUAAAUACAAGGCACACGGAAAGGAACAGGUGAUACACGGCAGAAAGAGAGAGGAAGAAGAAGAGGAAGAAGAGAUGGCAGAAUAGAAAUAGUUAUUUUUGUACACAUAUUAUUCUAGAUUAUAAAUGAAAGCAUCAGUGUUGUUCCGAUAACGUACUUCAGUCACAUUGACUGUAGAAGAAUCCCGUAAAUAUUGCGUCUUAUUUCAUUUAUUCUACUGCACACACAUCGUCAAUUUUACAACAUUUUUAACAUAUUUGUGUUUAGAAAUUAGUCUUCAAAUUGGGUAAAAACACAAAUACCUAAUAUAAAUAAAUAAAAUUAAUAUAUAUUCGGUUCAGUUCACUGAAACCGAAAUGGGUACAAAAAAUAAAUACCUAACAUAAAUAAAAUUAAGGGAGUUUUAACGAAAAGUCCACGGUACUGUUCACUUUAACGAAAAACCACAUUUUUACACUAAAAAGUCAAACCGGAUACUAUUCACUUUACCCUUUAUUUUGUCCUUAUCAUUAAAACUCAAAGUUUUCAAACCCUUUUCAUUAGUUUUCCUUAAAAUUAAUAUAUGUUCGGUUCGGUUCGGUUCUCUUUUUUAAUUUGGUUCAAUUUUUUUUUUGUUUGGUUUUUUCAAUUUCGAUUCGGUGUUUAGUUCGGUUUUUUUCGUUUGUCGGUUUUUUUAACGCACCCUUAGUUCACGACCUUAUUCUAUUUUAAGGGUGGUGCACAGGUUGGUUCAAUUGCUGUUGGUGGGCAUCAUGGGUUUAUGAACAAACAUGACAAGGUUGCAUUGGACAUGGCACAUGUUUGUGGGUUUUGCAUUGAUUGAAUUGUAUUUUAAAUGCAGACAGAUGAGCGAGAGUUUGGUGAUCAACGCUCCAAUUAGGACAAAGUCUGAGGACCAAUUUUUUUUUUUUUUUUUUUUAAAAUAAUAAUAAUAUGUCACUUAUGCGAUAUGUUAACAUUAAAAUCUUAUCAUAAUAAUUUAUAUGUAACGAGUUAAUAAUCACGUGACGUUUUUGUCACAGCCCGUCCCGGAGGUACUGUUGACGGGAAUGUGAAAUGACGAAAAUGCCCUUGACGUUACUAAGGUGCGUUGGUGAAAUGUUUUAGAUAUUUAUAUUUUCCUAACCUAUUGGAAAUGUUAUCUAAGUUGGAUAAAAUAUUAAAAGGUUGAUUUUGUUGUUUUGGCUAAGGAUUGAAAAAUGGAUGGUGUGGAUCAAUUGGGACCACACAGGACCCUCCUUCCCUUUCCUUUCCCCGUGCAUUCCCUGUCUGUCUCUCCUUCACGAUCUCACACCCACGCAUACACCCAAAUACGUACGGCACACCCCAAACCCUCCAAAAACUCGACGGAUCGAGGCAAAUAAGGGAAUUUCAAGCUUGUAGUGGGCUUUAUGAGGUCCUAAGGAAGCUCGGGGACGUUCGUUGGACAGUUUUGGACGUCGGGAUCGUGGGUUUCAAAGUUGGCCGAAUUCUUGGAUUUUUCUCGGUGAGAUUUCUUGAUUUUUAGACCCUAAAACUAGUCCAACGUGAUAGUACACUCUUAGGGCUUCAAAUUGAUAUAAAAUACGAAGAAAAUGGGUGAAAAACGAAGGAGAACAAGAGGUUUAAAGUUUGGCCGGAAUUGGGUCGCCGGAAAAACCAGUCCGGCGAACCCUGGGGAAGACGAUGACACGUGCCGCGCGUGGCUGCGCGUGGCCUACGCGUAGAGCCGAGCUCUAGUCGGCGCGUGAGGGCGCGUGGGGAGUCCAAAAUUGUUUCUAAAAAUUUCCCGACGCUCUUGACGUCGAGUAAGUCGAUGUGGUAUAUUCAUAAACCCAAAUUGAGCAUCGUAUGAGAAUUUUUUUUGGAAUUUUGGUGAUGUGUUUAAAAUUAACGUUUUUAUAGUUGUUUCGCAUAUAGGUGAGACGUAUCCCGAGGACGACCGCAUCCAGGGACGCCACGGGGGUUACGACCCGUCGACAUAUCAGUGAGUGGGCAGUUUUGAUUUCGUAUUUACCUAUAUACAUCUAUUUUCCCAGAAAAUACGCGUUUUAUAAAUUUAAUUUGCCAUGCAUGAAAAUAUUGAAAUACUGGAAUUGAUAAUUGAUAUAUGCGCGUGAAAUGAUGCGGUGGACGCUCAGGUGAGUUUAUUUAUUUCCAGCUGAGUUAUUUAUAUGAAUUGCAUUGAAAGCUCAUAACCUGCACCUAGGUGAUAGUGAUUAUAUUGUUAUUCACCACACCGCACGCUCGUCUUGGAUCCAAGUAUGUGGAUGUCGUACAGACCAUGUGAGGGUUCCGACAUGCCAGUCGUACAGACCAUUAGAGGGGUUCCGACUGGUGGGUGACCUUAGAUAUGCGCGCUGAUGAUUGAUGUGAGAAGCACUAGAGCGUAUUUAUACACCUGUCACCGUACAGACUACCUUAUGUAGUUCCGAGUGACGUGCAGAGUUAAACCGUACAGGUCACCGAGGUGACUCCGGUUGGAUGAGAUGUUGAGCUUUAGAAUCAGCCGUACAGGACCAUCGUAGGGUCUCCGGUUGACUUAGUAUUCACCUGAUUGAUAUUGAUUUACAUUCUGAUUAUAUUUUGGGCAUGGCAUACCGUUUCUGUGAUAUUAUGAUGAUGAAAUGUGCUGAGUUAUGAGGUUGAGUAUAUUUAUAUGUUUAUAUACUAUUUUCUGGGAAAGUAUACAGGUUUUUACGGCGAGGGGAUAUAAUUGUUUUAAUGAACUGUUUUGGAAAACUAAUUUGUUUUACUGACCCACUCAUUUUGUUUUGCGCCCCUCCAGGUUCUAGUUUAGCGGUGGUUGGCUCACGAGGUCCUUUUCCGGCUUUCUGACAGACCUUGGACAUGUAGGACUCACCUGAGGGUGAUGUAUUCUUAUUUUAGUCCUACUUGACUGCAGUUACCUAUGCUCUGAACUUAUGUGUUUGUAGUAUAACUUGUCCGGUUAUGUUCGUAGGUGGAUAUGUUUAAGUUGGUUUGAAUUUCAGCUGAUUUAU